UGAUCCCUACGGGGGGCAGCAGUGAGGAAUAUUGGUCAAUGGGCGGAAGCCUGAACCAGCCACGUAGCGUGAAGGAUGACUGCCCUACGGGUUGUAAACUUCUUUUAUAAAGGAAUAAAGUGAGGCACGUGUGCCUUUUUGUAUGUACUUUAUGAAUAAGGAUCGGCUAACUCCGUGCCAGCAGCCGCGGUAAUACGGAGGAUCCGAGCGUUAUCCGGAUUUAUUGGGUUUA
rnacentral:rRNA from 1 species